rnacentral:misc_RNA from 1 species
ACUUGAUUUAGGCUCGAUUCUUUUCGUUCAUAUACGCGCUAAAUCCCUCUGGUACUAGUCCCUCAGAUACCCAGGUAUUUCCAUCAUCCACUCAUAAGCACCUGUAAUGCAUAUUACGGAAAUAAAGGUUUGCUUUGGUUGAUAUUGAAUUUCAGACCCGAAUCAAGCUUAAAUCAAUGGCAGCGGUCGCUUUAGUAAAAGAUUCUGCAAUUGAUUCGCCAAAAUGUUAUCUUUUUCUGUGAUAACUUUUGGGUUUGGUUUAUCUGUUGCUUCUAGUUGUCAAAUUUGUGUAUUUCUUUGGUACGUUUUGAAGGGAUUUUAUCCUUGUGGGGAUUCUUGCAAGCACUUUCAUCCCACCGACAGAAACAAGCUAACAUAAUCAUGUUAGUAUUUCUCAAGCUAUAGUCCUUAUGAAUAAUGUUCAGUCAACGAUUAUUCCAGGAAAUCAAUUAGUUGGAGGAAGCUCUUUUCUGGGUAAAUUCAACUUCAUUCAUUGCUGAAUUUUUAAAGGACUGUUGAUUGAUGAUUUUGCUGUUAAAUUUCCUUAUUUUCUCAUUGUUAUCCUCAAAAUUUUGUACUAAAAGCAUGCUUAAGGAUUGUAUAUAUUGAAUAUCAUUAAUUAGUAAUGACGCAAGCAUGCACUUGUAUUAUAUUAGAUGUUACACUAUGAUUGACAUGGCUAACUAUUUUGGACCACUUGAACAUUUAUAUCAUAAUAUGGUUUUCAUAUAUUUAUUCUCUUUAAUUUUCUUUUAUCUGUUAUUAAUUUUACCAAUUCACGUUAUCUUAUCAUGGCUCACAAUCACAGUGACGUGGUGAGAGAUAGCAUGGGAAUGCCAUGGGGCAAUCUGCCUCCAUCGCUAAAGCCUCCUCCAGAGGGUGGAUAUCUGCCUUUUCCAUUUGUGGAUUGGGGUUAGGUCUGUCAUGCUACAUCUUAUUAUGCCUAUGCCUGUACUACAAAUCCUUAUUUAUCGUUGUUGCCUGUAUGGUUAAUGUAUUGUCUCAAUAUCUAACUGUCAAUUUGUCAUGGACAUUGGACAAAUGCUAUUUGCUUGUAUGUCACAAUAACUAGAAAGCGUAGAUGAUUUUGUCUGCUCUCUUGUAUCUGUUGUCAGAUUGCAAUAAGAUUGUCUUGCUGCUGUGGUAUCAUAGAUUUCCUGUUUUUCUCAUGUAACACAAAUGAUAUCAUUAGUUGUGAUUGGUAAUUUGGUUUUGCUAAUUAGGUUCCACCGGGGAAUAUGCAGUAGCAUAGACCCAUUAAGAACAUGGAUAAAAUAGGAUCUUCAGGUUCUUAUAGAAACUAUCGCUAUCUGUAAAAUACCCUGAGAGAGGGAUAAGGCUAAGUGGAGGGACAAGGUUUUUACAUUAGUUGGGAUGUGAAAUCUAAAAUGAGGAAGCAAUUGUUUGUGAAUUUUUAAAUUAAUAGUGACACAUUUGUGCAUCCUGGCCAGAUGAAUUUUAUAUUGAAAAAUGGAUUUAAGUAGAGAAUUUUAGCCUUCUUCUACUUGAAUUUAUGGCUUCCAUUUAGAUAUUUACUGCUGCAUCUUUAGUUUAAUUUCCCCUAGAAACACUACAUAAUAUUCCUUUUCUAUGCAUCUUGCUCCACCAUUGUCUUCCUUCUUUUCUUACUUAGACAUUAAUGAUUAUGAUGAUCAACCUAUGAUAAUGGGGGUGAGUUGUGCUUUAAUGAAGAACAUGAAUGCAAGGCUGGCAAACAACAAACAAAUUGUAGACAAUUUAAUCAUGUCUGUAAUGUAUUGACCCUCUCAUUGUUCAAUCUUCUUAUUGAUACCACUCUAUCCCACACAUUAGAAUCAUCUGGGAACUUGGAGCAACUGCAAUCUGAUGCACACUCCUUCCUAUUGCAGUAGAAACUGAUAGAAGUCAUUCUAUUCGUGGCAAACUGAAAAUGGUUGCGCCAAUAUUUCCGAUGAUAGAACCUAAUGUCAGACAGGACAACAACUACGCCAGAAGCUGACACCCAAUUGAUGUCACAAUUGACUCAGCAAGUGCUGCAAGGGUUGGCAUUGGUACUAGGAAAGUGAUCAUCAUCCCAAAGUAUGUUAAGACACAGAGUGAACAUGAACAGCACUAACCAAUACCUUAGGAACUCUGCAAUUGAUCCAAUUCCAAUUCCUGCCAUGGCAUUCCCAAUCCCUACAACUGCAAAUGUAGCAACGAAAAAAAUAUGGUAUCUGAUGCAAACCUCAAGAACGAUGCUUUAAAACUCACGAACAGGUUUGUCUUAUAAUCCCAAGAAAGCCAAAAUUAAGUUCAGACACCAAAGAAUACCUUGACCUGUCAAUUAUAUAAAAUUGAAAACCAAGAUAAUUCA